UACGAAGGGGGCUAGCGUUGUUCGGAUUUACUGGGCGUAAAGCGCACGUAGGCGGACUAUUAAGUCAGGGGUGAAAUCCCGGGGCUCAACCCCGGAACUGCCUUUGAUACUGGUAGUCUUGAGUUCGAGAGAGGUGAGUGGAAUUCCGAGUGUAGAGGUGAAAUUCGUAGAUAUUCGGAGGAACACCAGUGGCGAAGGCGGCUCACUGGCUCGAUACUGACGCUGAGGUGCGAAAGCGUGGGGAGCAAACGGG
rnacentral:rRNA from 1 species